CCAUGCUUAGUCCAAAUUUCUGGAUUGGACAACUAGGGAUUUAAGGACGGGCUAGAAUGUAUCCAGAGCUAACUAGACCUCCUCCACCAUCACAUCACCUCCGGUGACCAAAGGGACAGUUCAUUUACACGGAUGCUUAUCACGUGCCAGGCACUGGGUAAGACCUUAGAGGCUUGACAGCAUAUCCUCAUCGCCCGGCUUCAUGAGGCGGGCUUUAUGAUCCCAUUUUACGGAGGCUCUGAGGCUGUGUGGUUAUUUUAGGGAACAAGGAUUUGUUGAGGGGAGCGGGCACUGGCUAAGUGCUGGGGAAUGAUGUAAAUACACUCCUUCCUUAAGGAAGUGUCCGUUGGCCCAAGAGGUCUCUGUUGGCCCGAUUCGAAAGCUUGCCAUGAACCCUGCACACAGUUCCUCGGAGAUCGGGACACGCCUGGGGACCUUCUUCAAUCUCCCGUCCGCUCAGCAUGGACACUGCGGAGGGAGAAGAUGAGCUGAGUUCGUCUUUCCAAUGGUCCACCACCGCGGAGUGUGAGCUCACUCGGGCGCGAGUCUCAGCCCAUCCGUCUUCUGCUGGGCACAGAAUGUACUGUGGAAUGCGGGCCAACAAUCGCGUUCGCUGCGCGCAGUGAAGAUACGUGGAGCCCCGUGUGCUGUGACCGGCUACAGAGGAAGUCUUAUAGCCCUCUACAUGCAGUGAGCUUAAUUCUUCUUCUCUCUCCAUUUUCGCACGCCUCCACACUUCCUGCUCCGUCCUGGGCCUGCCAGUGCUGAAAACCUGAGACGAAAUGUCCUUCCGGUUUUUAGAGGCCGAAACCAGGAAGGACGGGGAAAUGGGAAGGCCAGCUCUCUCUGUCUGGGACACCAGGGCCGGGGCCGGAGACCCUGGACCACAUUUCCACACCUCCCUUGGGAGGGCUGGGCUCAGCGAGAUCAGUCAAGGACUCGCUCUUAGCUGCGGCUUCCUCAUUCAAGGGCAAGUUGAUUACCAUCCUUCUGGCUUCCUUUUCCAUUUGUAACCGAAAGGAGAGGUCUUUAGUGGGAGAUGAUGCUGAUAGUUAUUUCCUGAUUAGAUAGCUGUUUAUUCAUUCAAACGUAUUGAUGGAUCACCUAUUGCCUCCUCUAAAAGGAGCCCUCAUGGGAGCUUACGUUCCAACGGAGAAAACCGAGCAAACAGAACAGAUAAAAUUUGUGUCGUGUUAGAAGGCCCGAUUACCUCGGAGGAGCCCAGAAGAGGGUGUGAGGGGCGCUGGGUUGGGGGUGCUGCAGUUGUAAGUUGGGUUCUCAGGGAAGGUUCAAAAGGAAGGUAAUAUUUGCGGUGAAGACCUGAAGGGGUUAUGGGAGAAAUCCAUGUCGAUACUAACGAUGAGGAUUUUAGGCAAACAGCAGGUGCAAAUGCCCAAGGCUGGAAGCUGCCUGUUGUGCCCCCGCAACAGCAAGGCGGCCGGAGUGACUGGAGCAAAGUCAGCGGCGGGGAGAGUAGAGGGUGACACGGUCAGAGAGGAAAUGGGGCCAGAUAGUGUCACGAGGGCCUUGAGAACAGGGGAAGUCUGUAGGCUCCCUGUGAGUAAGAAGGGGAGCUUCUGGAAGGUGCUGAGCAGAAAAGGGACAUGGUGUGGUAAAGUUAUGCAUUCUGCUCUGGCAGAAACACCGACACUUCCUACCCACUGGCCUGCGCGCGAGAAGCAAGGGGUGAUCGAUCUGACACCUGAGUGAGCCCCCUGACCUUCCGUGACAAGGCAUCACCCCCAUUUCCGUGGAGGCCAACGAGAGUCAGAGAGUCGCAGUAACUUUCUCAGGCCGUGAGCCACGCAGCUAGGGCGUGGAUGAGCUGGAAAAAAAGAGUGGCUCUCCACUUCUAAGGAUUCGUGAGGCUGGGUUGGGCCCACCCGAAUGAUCCAGGAUCAUCUUCCCUUCUCAAGGGGCCCCGAGAAGCCUCAAGAGAAGAAGAGAGAAGAAAAGACCCGGGGGAAGUGAACGGAACAGAAGACCAAGGGGAUGAUCCUUAUUUUGGAAGGGAAACCGGGUGACUCGGUAUCUGUGGAUGUAUACAGGCAGGUGUAAGCCGAGCGAAAACUCAAGACGAAAUGUACCAAACGGCCAUGGUCCAUUCUAUGUCCCAGAGAGUCUGUCUGCAAAGCCAUCACGUUGACCCCUCCAACCCACACUUCGGUCACACUUCUCCGAGGCCAUCACAGUAACCGGGGAUGGGGUGGCAGGAACCUGUGCCCGUGGCCCAUUUCCAGGCUCCGUCUCUUCCAGCGCAGACCCGGCGCCCCCCCCCCAACCCCUCCGCCCCCCGUUCCCGCCCCAUGAAGCAGAAUAUCUCUAGUCUGCUCUUCAAGGCUGCUUGUACCCUAGCCUCGUCUGAUGCUCUGCCAGACUUCCAUUCGACUUCUCGGCCACACAGAAGGGACUUUCUACCCUCACACCACUUCCUGGUCCCUCUGCCAUUGCUCAAGUGUUUGUCCUUCUCUGGAAUGUCUCUCCCGUGUCCCCCUCCCCCGUCCCUUCCUCUCUGUCAUUGAAAUUCUGCCGUGUCUCUCUGGCUUUUCUGAAACGGCGUCUCAAAUCUCCAUGAAGUCUUUCUUGACCCCUCCACCCCCCCCACCCCCAAGCUGGCCUGACUUAUCCAUCCUUUGAGCACCUGCUAUGGGGACUUUGUCCCUCUUCUUUGGGGCUUAUCCCAUUUUACAGUUAUUUUCUGUGCUCGUCUUUUCUCUUCCCCCCUCAGUUAUCCUCUCUUCAGAUCAGGCACUAGGUCUCACCCUUUGCCAGGCUCCCCACGGCAUCACAUGCAAAGCGAUGUGCCGUCGGAGCAGUGUGAGUUAGAAGACAGGUGCCUGGGGGCUCCUGGGAGGCUCCGUCGGUUAAGUGUCUGACUUAGGCUCAGGUUAUCAUUUCACGGUUUGCGGGUUCAAGCCCUGUGUUGGGCUCUGUGCUGGCAGCUCAGAGCCUGGAGCCUGCUUUGGAUUCUAUGUCUCCUCUCUUGCCCUUCCCCCGCGUGUGUUUUCUCUCUCUCUCUCUCUCUCUCUCUCUCUGUCUGUCCCUCAAAAAUAAAUAAGUAAACAUUAAAAAAAAGAGACGGGUGCCUAAUUUGUCAUGGUUUGGGUGCACGAGGGAGGAAACACCACUGAGGGGUGAUUAGAACCUCUUCUCUCUCUACGGACCACACGCAUUUUCAUUUCCACUCGCAUUAUCUCAGGCUUGAAAAUGUCACUUCUCUGAAUCAGCCUUUGCCACAGUUCCACCUCUCCUGUUACUUGCUUACUUCUGAAAAAAACCUGACUCCCUAUUUUUACCUAGCCUGCCGUAAGCCGCAAAACUCCGUGAAAAUACUGGGUUUCAGGUGAUAGCCACACAUCGAAUCAUUACAACACGACGCGAGACGUCUUCGCCAUAUACUGCUACAAGGUCUGACUUUGGGACGUGGCACCCGAUACCCAGGUGGGGCUAAAGUGCAUGACCAAGGUCGCUGAGCGCUCCGCCCUUUCCCACCAGGCCGCACCGCCUCCGUGCACAGGACCGGGAGAUAAGACACGCAGGGUCCGCAGGGGGUCUGCUCGGUCAUGGCCGGAAGCAAACGUGUCUUGCUCAACACCGUGGGGGAGGCACGCUGCAUUGUUUGUGGACUCGGUGUGGGGCCCGAGCGCACAAUGGGCGGUGCACCCAUGUCUGUUAAGAGCGCUGGUUCGCUCUCGAAUCCCCUCCUGUUCCCUCAGACAUUAUUUCCGGGGGGGAUGUCGGUCUCCCAUCAUCUGUGGCUGCAGCAGGCGGCCCGAGGGUGCUUUGGCCUCGCACCUGCCCCGGCUGCAAGCACCUCCCGGGACACAGGGCGCGAGAAAUGCUUCGUCAUUUGACCCGGGCCUUUUGGGGCUCCCUCCCGCCAGUCCCGGGAGCUCCUGAGGGCCCCUCGAGUAUCUUCCAGAAGAAGACAGCUGGUCUGAAGUGAUAGCUCAAGCAGGAAAUGGGGCCACGGCAGUGACGCCCUAGGGCCAAGGAGCAGCUCGAAAUGGCCUCCUUUCUCUCAACCCCUGCCUUUUCCUCAGAAGGAAAGAGAACGCUAAGACCACGGGGUAACCACGUUCACCACUGGGGACCAGGUCCCUUAAGUACUGUUUUGUCACCGCGAUGAAAGGGAACACUUACUUGUAAGCUGGGGGUAGAUUGUAACAGAAUUUCUUCAGUCUCUCUCUCUUUUUUUGUGUGUUUUUUGUUUCUUAACGUUUACUUUUGAGAGAGAGAGAGAGACAGAGACAGAGCGUGAGCAGGGGAGGGGCAGAGAGAGAGGGAGACACGGAAUCUGGCUCUGAGCUGUCAACACAGAGCCCGACGCGGGGCUCGAACUCACGAACUGCGAGAUCAUGACCCGAGCUUAAGUCAGACGCUUAACUGACUGAGCCGCCCAGGGGCCCCUUCAGCCCCUCUUUGAAGAGUGUGUUCUUUGGGAAUUGCCAGGCCGCCUGGCAUAAGAGGUGAGGGCCAGCCACACGCUUUUUUCUUGCCACUUUGAGCACCAGAGCAGAAAGGAGAUGGGGGGGAGGACACAACAGGGCGGCCACAGGCUCUAACAGGGGCAACGUGCUGGGGUUCGAGUCCCAGCCCGGCCGAUGCUAGCUCUUGGGAUCCGGGGUGGUUUACUUAGCCUUCCUACGUGUCUUUCUCAGCAUCGCUUCCCACAUGCAUAUACCGGAGGGCAAACCUCUUGGCACGGUGGAAGGCACACAACGAGCACUCAGAAAUUCUGGUGCCUUCCUUCUCUCUACCAAUGUCCCUGCCUCAUCCGUGACCGAGUUAUUCGGGCACCUUUCUUUCCGACCACGUUGAUGAGGUCUUCCCGUGCUGUGAGCUUUGGAGACACAACAGACACCUAUGAAGUGACUUGAAAACCUUUAUGAAGCUGUGGGUCUGAACGGACUGCUCAAUAGUGCUUUAAUUCUGUCACGAUGUUUCAGAAGGGGAUUCUGAGCCCUGGAUGGGUCCCUGAGUCUACAGCUCUUCAGCGUGCCUUUUGGCUUGGAGAUUCUAUAACUUGGCAGCCCUCGAUGUCACAUCAUAGACAGGGUAUGCAUAUAAUUUAUUGUGCAAACCAGGAAACAUUUGAUCGGGUGAAAGAGGCUGCUAUUAAAAAUGACAACUGGGAGCAGGUGUCAGUCAGGACUGUUUCAGGCAGGUGGGGUACAUCUUUACGCUACUCAGGGUACACAUUUUGGCCCCAAGCUCUGUGUGAGUUAUAAACCUUUGUGCUUACCUGGUUUCUAUGCACCCUGAAUCAUACCAGCUUCCCCACCCCUCCCUCCAGCCAACAACACUGCUAUGUAGGCAAGGAUCUUCUGGAAGGAAGUUUGAGACCCAUGGCACGACACGCAUGCAAAUACCAUGUCAGAUCUGUCUAAAGAGACAAAUGGAAGCCAGAGGGUGAGCCGAUGCAGAAUCCAGAAAAUUCUUCGGCACCCCCACUGCCCGCCCCCACGUGCCCGCCUGGGCAGGCAGGCGACCAGCUGUGGAGGGAAGGAACAGGCUGGGGAAAGGCCAGCCAGAUGCGGCUUGCAGAAAACCCGGACCAGAUUCCGUGCUCUCAGUGACUGGCUCUGAUGUGCCAGACCCACGAAGAGAACCGUCAGUGCCCUCCCUGGGAAACUGAGGACAGCAUACCUUUGCAUCCAUUGUCUGGGGUCGUUGAGGAUAAAAUGAUGUGAUGGACGCGGACAUAACUUACAAACUGCAAAUGCCAGGUGGCACCUUAAUCGGAGAACUUCAAUGCAAACCCCUGAAUUUGCAGAUGAAAAUCUGGGGUCCAGAGAGGUCAACAGGCUGGCCCAGCAUGGACAACUCCCUUUAUGGAGAUGCCGAUGACGUGUGUGUGAUGGGGGAGCGGUUGGCUGAGGAGGUUAAGUCUAAGAGGAGGAGAAGACCAGGGACAAACCAAGGAGGCAAAAACAUUUUCAAGGACCUUAAUGUAAAUGUGUGCUUGGUGAGAUGAGAAAAAUGAUUCUGUGGUUAUUUUUUAAGGGAGUGGGAUCCUCACAUCUUUUAUUCCUUGUCGUCAUGGACACUGACCAUCCGAGGCUUCGAGGCUGGAGCCAUUCUCCCUCUCUCUAUCUUUUUUAAUGUUUGUUUAUUUUGAGAGAGAUAGAGAGGCAGAUGGAGAGAGAGAGACAGGGAGAGAGAGAAUCCCAAGCAGGCUCUACACUCAGCUCAGAGCCCGAUGCAGGGCUCAAUCUCAUGACCGUGAGAUCACAACCUGAGCUGAAAUCAAGAGUCAGACAGUCCACUGAGACACCCAGGCGCCCGGCCACUUUCUUCAUAAAGAUGCUCCUUUGGCCUGACUGUCCGACUUGGACACUAACACGGGUGGUGGGGGCCUGGCCAGGCUGGAAAAGGGUAUGCAGACCAGAGAGGAUCUACCUUGAGUAGGAGAAGGUGGAGGCACCUUAACCGAGCAAUGGAGAGCACGGACUCUGGAGACAGGCUGCCUGGAGAAGAAUCCCAGUUUUGCUGCUCACAGCUGUGUCACCUUGGGCAAGUUGCCUAAGCUUUCUGUGCCUUCGUUUUCUCAGCUGUAGAAUGAGAAUAUGAAAGUGCCCACAUCACAGAAUGGUGUGAGGUUUCAGCAGGUUAAUACAUUUAAGAGUCUUAGAAAGGUACCUGGCACACAUCCAGCUCUA